CAUGCAAGUCGAGCGGAAACGAGUUAUCUGAACCUUCGGGGGACGAUAACGGCGUCGAGCGGCGGACGGGUGAGUAAUGCCUAGGAAAUUGCCCUGAUGUGGGGGAUAACCAUUGGAAACGAUGGCUAAUACCGCAUGAUGCCUACGGGCCAAAGAGGGGGACCUUCGGGCCUCUCGCGUCAGGAUAUGCCUAGGUGGGAUUAGCUAGUUGGUGAGGUAAGGGCUCACCAAGGCGACGAUCCCUAGCUGGUCUGAGAGGAUGAUCAGCCACACUGGAACUGAGACACGGUCCAGACUCCUACGGGAGGCAGCAGUGGGGAAUAUUGCACAAUGGGCGCAAGCCUGAUGCAGCCAUGCCGCGUGUGUGAAGAAGGCCUUCGGGUUGUAAAGCACUUUCAGUCGUGAGGAAGGUGGUGUAGUUAAUAGCUGCAUUAUUUGACGUUAGCGACAGAAGAAGCACCGGCUAACUCCGUGCCAGCAGCCGCGGUAAUACGGAGGGUGCGAGCGUUAAUCGGAAUUACUGGGCGUAAAGCGCAUGCAGGUGGUUUGUUAAGUCAGAUGUGAAAGCCCGGGGCUCAACCUCGGAAUAGCAUUUGAAACUGGCAGACUAGAGUACUGUAGAGGGGGGUAGAAUUUCAGGUGUAGCGGUGAAAUGCGUAGAGAUCUGAAGGAAUACCGGUGGCGAAGGCGGCCCCCUGGACAGAUACUGACACUCAGAUGCGAAAGCGUGGGGAGCAAACAGGAUUAGAUACCCUGGUAGUCCACGCCGUAAACGAUGUCUACUUGGAGGUUGUGGCCUUGAGCCGUGGCUUUCGGAGCUAACGCGUUAAGUAGACCGCCUGGGGAGUACGGUCGCAAGAUUAAAACUCAAAUGAAUUGACGGGGGCCCGCACAAGCGGUGGAGCAUGUGGUUUAAUUCGAUGCAACGCGAAGAACCUUACCUACUCUUGACAUCCAGAGAACUUUCCAGAAAUGGAUUGGUGCCUUCGGG
rnacentral:rRNA from 1 species